UGCAAGUCGAGCGGACAGAAGGGAGCUUGCUCCCGGAUGUUAGCGGCGGACGGGUGAGUAACACGUGGGUAACCUGCCUGUAAGACUGGGAUAACUCCGGGAAACCGGAGCUAAUACCGGAUAGUUCCUUGAACCGCAUGGUUCAAGGAUGAAAGACGGUUUCGGCUGUCACUUACAGAUGGACCCGCGGCGCAUUAGCUAGUUGGUGGGGUAAUGGCUCACCAAGGCGACGAUGCGUAGCCGACCUGAGAGGGUGAUCGGCCACACUGGGACUGAGACACGGCCCAGACUCCUACGGGAGGCAGCAGUAGGGAAUCUUCCGCAAUGGACGAAAGUCUGACGGAGCAACGCCGCGUGAGUGAUGAAGGUUUUCGGAUCGUAAAGCUCUGUUGUUAGGGAAGAACAAGUGCGAGAGUAACUGCUCGCACCUUGACGGUACCUAACCAGAAAGCCACGGCUAACUACGUGCCAGCAGCCGCGGUAAUACGUAGGUGGCAAGCGUUGUCCGGAAUUAUUGGGCGUAAAGGGCUCGCAGGCGGUUUCUUAAGUCUGAUGUGAAAGCCCCCGGCUCAACCGGGGAGGGUCAUUGGAAACUGGGAAACUUGAGUGCAGAAGAGGAGAGUGGAAUUCCACGUGUAGCGGUGAAAUGCGUAGAGAUGUGGAGGAACACCAGUGGCGAAGGCGACUCUCUGGUCUGUAACUGACGCUGAGGAGCGAAAGCGUGGGGAGCGAACAGGAUUAGAUACCCUGGUAGUCCACGCCGUAAACGAUGAGUGCUAAGUGUUAGGGGGUUUCCGCCCCUUAGUGCUGCAGCUAACGCAUUAAGCACUCCGCCUGGGGAGUACGGUCGCAAGACUGAAACUCAAAGGAAUUGACGGGGGCCCGCACAAGCGGUGGAGCAUGUGGUUUAAUUCGAAGCAACGCGAAGAACCUUACCAGGUCUUGACAUCCUCUGACAACCCUAGAGAUAGGGCUUUCCCUUCGGGGACAGAGUGACAGGUGGUGCAUGGUUGUCGUCAGCUCGUGUCGUGAGAUGUUGGGUUAAGUCCCGCAACGAGCGCAACCCUUGAUCUUAGUUGCCAGCAUUCAGUUGGGCACUCUAAGGUGACUGCCGGUGACAACCGGAGGAA
rnacentral:rRNA from 1 species